rnacentral:rRNA from 2 species
CAGUGUUAAAAUUGUGCAAAGGUAGCAUAAUAAUUUUCUUUUUAAAUGGAAGGUCGGAUGAAAGGGAUUGACUAGAUAUUUACUGUGUCAGUAUAAAAAUAGAAUUUUAUGAGGAGGUUAGAAAUCCUUUUGAUAUUAAAGGGACGACAAGACCCUGGGAGCUUAUAAAUCAAAUUAAAGAUUGAAUUUGUUUAACUGGGGCGGUUAAUAAUUAAAACAUUGUAGUUAGAACAAUUGGAUGGAGUAAAUGAUCAUUAGUUAGACAUAGAGUUAAAGCUACCCCAGGGAUAACAGCGUAAUUAUUCUGGAGAUUUUUGUUGAAGGAGUAGUUUGCGACCUCGAUGUUGAAU